rnacentral:rRNA from 1 species
AUCAACGCUGGCGGCGCGCUUAACACAUGCAAGUCGAACGGAGAAAGUGGAGCAAUCCCAUGAGUACAAGUGGCGCGCUACGGGUGAGUAACACGUGGGUGAUCUACCUCUCGGUGGGGAAUAACCUCUGGGAAACCGGAGGCUAAUACCGCAUAAGCCUGGAGAGAGGAAAGUCGAAAGACGCUGAGAGAGGAGCCCCGCGGCCCGAUUAGCUAGUUGGUGAGGGUAACGAGCCUCACCAAGGCAAAGAUCGGUAGCCGGCCUGAGAGGGCACACGGCCACACUGGCACUGAAACACGGGCCAGACUCCUACGGGAGGCAGCAGUGGGGAAUCUUGCACAAUGGGGGCAACCCUGAUGCAGCGACGCCCGCUGUGAGCGAUGAAGCCCUUCGGGGCUGUAAAGCUCUUUCGUCCCGGAACGAUGAUGACGGUACCUGGAGAAGCAGCUGCGGCUAACUACGUGCCAGCAGCCGCGGUAAUACGUAGGCAGCAAGCGUUGUUCGGAGUUACUGGGCGUAAAGAGGUGCGUAGGCGGUUCUUAAAGUUUGGCGUGAAAUCUCCCGGCUUCAACCGGGAGGGUGCGCCGAAUACUGAGGGACUCGGAGUGCGGGAGAGGCAAGCUGGAAUUCCUGGUGUAGCGGUGAAAUGCGUAGAUAUCAGGAGGAACACCGGUGGUGUAGACGGCUUUCUAGACCAGUAACUGACGCUGAGACACGAAAGCGUGGGGUAGCAAACAAGGAUUAGAUACCCUGGUAGUCCACGCCCUAAACGAUGCAUACUUUGGUGUGGGUCAUUUCAGUUGAUCCGUGCCGGAGCUAACGCGUUAAAUAUGCCGCCUGGGGAGUACAGUCGUAAGGCUGAAACUCAAAGGAAUUGACGGGGGCCCGCACAAGCGGUGGAGCAUGUGGUUCAAUUCGACGCAACGCGAAGAACCUUACCUGGGCUCGAACGGGCUUAGUCAACGGCUGGUGGAAACAUCGCUACCCCGCAAGGGGAGUGUAUUCGAGGGUGCUGCAUGGCUGUCGUCAGCUCGUGUCGUGAGAUGUUGGGUUAAGUCCCGCAACGAGCGCAACCCUUGUCCUGUGUUGCCAUCCUAAAGGCUGGGCAACUCUGCAGGAGACCGCCAGCGAUAAGCUGGAGGAAGGUGGGGAUGACGUCAAGUCAUCAUGGCCUUUAUGUCCAGGGCUACACACGUGCUACAAUGGACGGUACAAAGCGCCGCGAACCCGCGAGGGGGAGCAAUCGCAAAAAACCGUUCUCAGUUCGGAUUGCAGGCUGCAACUCGCCUGCAUGAAGCUGGAAUCGCUAGUAAUGGCAUAGAUCAGCACGAUGCCCGUGAAUACGUUCCCGGGCCUUGUACACACCGCCCGUCACAUCACGAAAGUGGGAUUGUACUAGAAGUCUGCAGAGCUAGACCCGCAAGGGGAGGGCAGCGGCCCAAGGUAUGACUCAAUGAUUGGGGUG